UACGAAGGGGGCUAGCGUUGUUCGGAAUUAUUGGGCGUAAAGCGUGCGCAGGCGGCUUCUCAAGUCAGGGGUGAAAGCCCAGAGCUUAACUCUGGAAUUGCCUUUGAGACUGAGAGGCUUGAGUACGGGAGAGGUGAGUGGAAUUCCCAGUGUAGAGGUGAAAUCGUAGAUAUUGGGAAGAACACCGGUGGCGAAGGCGGCUCACUGGCCCGUAACUGACGCUCAUGCACGACAGCGUGGGGAUCAAACAGG
rnacentral:rRNA from 1 species